AGUGGGUGUAAGUCUAGUGCACA
rnacentral:miRNA from 1 species